rnacentral:rRNA from 1 species
GACGAACGCUGGCGGCGUGCCUAAUACAUGCAAGUCGAACGCAGUGGGGACGGGUGAGUAACACGUGGGUAACCUCCCAUCAGAGGGGAUAACACUUGGAAACAGGUGCUAAACCGAUACUGAUGGAUGAACCCGCGGUGCAUUAGCUAGUUGGUGAGGUAACGGCUCACCAAGGCCACGAUGCAUAGGCGACCUGAGAGGGUGAGCAGCCACACUGCAACUGAGACACGGCCCAGACUCCAACGCGAGGCAGCAGUAGGGAAUCUACGGCAAUGCACGGAAGUCUGGCCUAGCCACGCCGCGUGGCUUAAGAAGGUUUUCGUCUCGUAAACGUCUGUUGCUAGAAAAUAUGUAUUUAAUCAGAAAGCCACGGCUAACUACGUGCCAGCAGCCGCGGUAAUAC